UACAGAGGUCUCAAGCGUUGUUCGGAUUCAUUGGGCGUAAAGGGUGUGUAGGUGGCGCCGUAAGUCGGGUGUGAAAUUUCGAGGCUUAACCUCGAAACUGCAUUCGAUACUGCGGUGCUUGAGGACUGGAGAGGAGACUGGAAUUUACGGUGUAGCGGUGAAAUGCGUAGAUAUCGUAAGGAAGACCAGUGGCGAAGGCGGGUCUCUGGACAGUUCCUGACGCUGAGGCACGAAGGCCAGGGGAGCAAACGGG
rnacentral:rRNA from 1 species